rnacentral:rRNA from 1 species
AACGUAGGUGGCAAGCGUUAUCCGGAUUCACUGGGUUUAAAGGGUGCGUAGGCGGACAGGUAAGUCAGUGGUGAAAUCUCCGAGCUUAACUCGGAAACUGCCUUUGAUACUCUCUGUCUUGAAUAUGGUGGAGGUAAGCGGAAUAUGUCAUGUAGCGGUGAAAUGCUUAGAGAUGACAUAGAACACCUAUUGCGAAGGCAGCUUACUACGCCUAUAUUGACGCUGAGGCACGAAAGCGUGGGGAUCAAACAGG